rnacentral:rRNA from 1 species
AUUUCAGGGUAGCAAUAUUCUGAAGUUGGAGUGGCGCAAGGGUGCGUAACACGUGGGUAAUUUGCCGUAAAGCCUGGAAUAACUCGCUGAAAGGCGAGCUAAUACCGGAUGUGACGUUUGGAAGGCAUCUUCUGAACUUUAAAGCUGGGGACCGUAAGGCCUGGCACUUUUCGAUAAGCCCGCGGCCUAUCAGCUAGUUGGUGAGGUAACGGCUCACCAAGGCUAAGACGGGUAGCUGGUCUGAGAGGACGACCAGCCUCACUGGAACUGAGACACGGUCCAGACACCUACGGGUGGCAGCAGUCGAGAAUUUUUCACAAUGGGCGAAAGCCUGAUGGAGCGACGCCGCGUGGGGGAUGAAUGGCUUCGGCCCGUAAACCCCUGUCAUUUGCGAACAAACCUUGUCAUUUAACAGACGACAAGCUGAUAGUAGCGAAAGAGGAAGGGACGGCUAACUCUGUGCCAGCAGCCGCGGUAAUACAGAGGUCCCAAGCGUUGUUCGGAUUCACUGGGCGUAAAGGGUGCGUAGGUGGCGGGGUAAGUCUGAUGUGAAAUCUCCGAGCUUAACUCGGAAACUGCAUCGGAUACUGCUUUGCUCGAGGGUUGGAGGGGGGACUGGAAUACUUGGUGUAGCAGUGAAAUGCGUAGAUAUCAAGUGGAACACCAGUGGCGAAGGCGAGUCCCUGGACAACUCCUGACACUGAGGCACGAAAGCUAGGGGAGCAAACAGGAUUAGAUACCCUGGUAGUCCUAGCUGUAAACGGUGCACGUUUGCUGUAAGUGGAAUCGACCCCACUUUGUGGCGUA